ensembl:ncRNA B0350.83 ncRNA
ACGGGAGCCCUUGGCUCACACAAAACUUGUGUAAAGUUGCUGUGUCUCAUGGGCUCCCGUGCUCUCUCGCUCCCCAUGCCGUUGCUUGCUCAAUUCGUUUUGAAAUCACCGAGAAGCCGGGGAAGAAUUUUGCUCUGCUGUCAAAAU